AAUGGGCGCAAGCCUGAUCCAGCCAUGCCGCGUGGGUGAUGAAGGCCCUAGGGUCGUAAAGCUCUUUCGCCAGGGAUGAUAAUGACAGUACCGGGUAAAGAAACCCCGGCUAACUCCGUGCCAGCAGCCGCGGUAAUACGGAGGGGGUUAGCGUUGUUCGGAAUUACUGGGCGUAAAGCGCGCGUAGGCGGAUUAGUCAGUUAGAGGUGAAAUCCCGGGGCUCAACCCCGGAACUGCCUUUAAUACUGCUAGUCUUGAGUUCGAGAGAGGUGAGUGGAAUUCCGAGUGUAGAGGUGAAAUUCGUAGAUAUUCGGAGGAACACCAGUGGCGAAGGCGGCUCACUGGCUCGAUACUGACGCUGAGGUGCGAAAGUGUGGGGAGCAAACAGGAUU
rnacentral:rRNA from 1 species